UAACCUAAAUUUGGUGUCACC
rnacentral:piRNA from 1 species